rnacentral:lncRNA from 1 species
UGGCGGAUUGACAAGAAUGAGGGCUGGGUUUUCACCAGGAUGAAGGAACAAAGGAUGGGCGGGAUUAGUGAGAUGAUCGGUGGCAACGGUGGUAGAGGCGGUAGCGGUGGUGGACGAGUCAGAGAAAGCCAUUAGAAGAACAAAAGAAAGAAGAUGAAGAAAAAGAAGGCAAACGAAGAACCCUAAUUAUUGUCUUUCUUCUGAUACCAUGUAAGUGUGUUAGAAAGAGAGAAACGAGAAUUCCAGAAAGCAGGAAAACUAUGAAUGAAUAUUACUGAUAGAAUUAUCUUUUAGUACAGCGGAAGCAAGGAAUUUAUAUAAAAGGAGAAAAGAAGAAACAACAAAAAAACUAAAAAAAUCACUAGGACCGAACGGGUUGUUCGGUGGUCACUCUGACAGCAGCUAUACGGUAAGUAUCAGCUUUCGGCAACUCAAUAACAAAGGAACCGUCCGGCAACAACAGAGAAAAUAUCUCUAUUAAGGAACCGUCCGGUAACAACAAAGAAAAUAUCUCUAUUAAGAAACCGUCCGGUAACAACAGAGAAAAAAUCUCUAUCACAACAACAACAAUGUAGGGAUCACCAUUCGGUGACAACACCGUUUGGUUAAAAUCAGAG